rnacentral:rRNA from 1 species
UACGGAGGGAGCUAGCGUUGUUCGGAAUUACUGGGCGUAAAGCGCGCGUAGGCGGCUUUGUAAGUUAGAGGUGAAAGCCCGGGGCUCAACUCCGGAAUUGCCUUUAAGACUGCAUCGCUUGAAUCCGGGAGAGGUGAGUGGAAUUCCGAGUGUAGAGGUGAAAUUCGUAGAUAUUCGCAAGAACACCAGUGGCGAAGGCGGCUCACUGGCCCGGUACUGACGCUGAGGUUGCCGAAAGCGUGGGGAGCGAAACAGG